rnacentral:tRNA from 1 species
GGUUGUGGCUCAGCGGUAGAGUGCUCGCCUCACAUGCACAUGGCCCUGGGUUCGAUCCUCAGCACCA